rnacentral:rRNA from 2 species
UCUGGACAUACUAUGCAAAUCUAAGAGAUUAGACGUUCCCUUCGGGGACAUGGAUACAGGUGGUGCAUGGUUGUCGUCAGCUCGUGUCGUGAGAUGUUGGGUUAAGUCCCGCAACGAGCGCAACCCUUAUUAUCAGUUGCCAGCAUUAAGUUGGGCACUCUGGUGAGACUGCCGGUGACAAACCGGAGGAAGGUGGGGAUGACGUCAAAUCAUCAUGCCCCUUAUGACCUGGGCUACACACGUGCUACAAUGGAUGGUACAACGAGUUGCGAACUCGCGAGAGUAAGCUAAUCUCUUAAAGCCAUUCUCAGUUCGGAUUGUAGGCUGCAACUCGCCUACAUGAAGUCGGAAUCGCUAGUAAUCGCGGAUCAGCAUGCCGCGGUGAAUACGUUCCCGGGCCUUGUUCACACCGCCCGUCACACCAUGAAGAGUUUG